GUCCAAGGUGCCCGGAGGUGCCUCUCCACCAGAACCAAGCGCCUGGCACCAGCAAGUGCUACUCCUCUCAAAACUGGGACUUCUGGUCACAGCAGCAGGGAAAGAUGGAGGAAACGAGCUCUGCUAGGACUCUUGUUGGAGGAUACAAAUGCCAGAAGGUUGAAGGAAGCUCUGAAGCAUCGAGGAACUUGUGGUUCGUGGCAGGCUGUAUUCCUCGCCCUCACUUACCAGGAUUUGGGAGCGCUGGGUUGUAGAAGUGAUAAUCCUGGAGAAAAUGGGGCAGCACCUCAUGCUUGUGAUCCUGAGCGGCUGUCAGAAGGUGCUGCUUUCAGACCUACCUGCGGGACGUGGCUGCAGCUAAAGGACUAUACUGGUACCCCUGCACUCGUUGGUUUUGUUUGUCUUGCUCUCACUGUGUCUUUCUCAUGGAAGGGAAAGGCCAAGCCCCUUUUUGGCACUGCAAUAACCUCUCCGUCCCAUUACUUGGCUUCGUGCAAUUGCAUGGAGUCCCACUGGUGUGUUGGUGUUGGAAGGCUGGAUGCUCUGCUUCCAUCAUUACCGUUGCUUGCUUACAAUGGCAAUGCAGAAAGUCUCCCUGCCUACAUUACUAAUUGCCCCAGAAACUCAUUUUUUUACGUGGUUAUUUCAGGGAAAACCUCUGAAGCCUUAAUGUCUGGCCCUGUCUGCGGUGUGCUCUUUUCUUUAUGCUCUUUUCCAGCCUGGUUGAUCCUGUGAUUCAAUGAUCUUUACCAAACACAGGUUUUCCCUGCGCUGCCAUUCGUCUGCUGUCCCUGCACAUAAUGGAAGUCCCAGCAGGAGCCUGGUUGCUCUGACCUGCUCCCAACUCUCACUUAACCCUAUCACCAGAGCAGAGACCCUGGAAGCAGUUUGCCAUAUCAGACCUCUAUGGACCACUGCCUUUCCCCCCCUUUUAUUAUUAUUUUUUUUUUUGUUCUGCAGCAUGAGCUGAAGCCUGUUUCUUAAAGACAUGCCACCAGGACACCAAAAUGCCUGAGGUCUCG
rnacentral:lncRNA from 1 species